rnacentral:rRNA from 1 species
UACGGAGGGUGCUAGCGUUGUUCGGAAUUAUUGGGCGUAAAGGGUGCGUAGGCGGUUUGUUAAGUUUGUUGUUAAAGACUUUGGCUUAACUGAAGAAAAGCAAUAAAUACUGGCAGACUAGAGGGUGAAAGAGAGAAGUGGAAUUCCCGGAGUAGCGGUAAAAUGCGUAGAUCUCGGGAGGAACACCAAUGGCGAAGGCUGCUUCUUGGUUCACUACUGACGCUGAGGCACGAAAGCGUGGGGAGCAAACAGG